rnacentral:tRNA from 1 species
CUCGCGAUAGCUCAGUUGGUAGAGCGGAGGACUGUAGUGGAUUGUAUGAGAUAUCCUUAGGUCGCUGGUUCAAAUCCGGCUCGCGAGA